AGGUGCCAAAGGUGUCCGAUCUAACUAAGGUGGAGGCCAAGGAGGUUUAGCUCUCGGACAUUGCACCAAUGACGCUGGAUAAUACCGACAUGCAUACUGAAUUCGUCCAAGGACCGUCGGAAGAUCAGAAUUGUGGCUAAUGUCCCUUAAGAGGAGUGUACGCAUUGUGC